rnacentral:rRNA from 1 species
UACGUAGGGGGCAAGCGUUGUUCGGAAUUACUGGGCGUAAAGCGCGCGUAGGCGGUUUGAAAAGUCAGAUGUGAAAGCCCCGGGCUCAACUUGGGAACUGCAUUUGAUACUGUCAGACUAGAGUACAGAAGAGGUGACUGGAAUUCCCAGUGUAGCGGUGAAAUGCGUAGAUAUCGGGAGGAACACCAGUGGCGAAGGCGGUUGCCUGGAGCUUUGCUGACGCUGAGGCGCGAAAGCGUGGGGAGCGAUCCGG